rnacentral:tRNA from 5 species
GCCCUGGUGGUGGAAUUGGUAGACACGCAGGACUUAAAAUCCUGUGCCUUCGGGUGUACGGGUUCAAGUCCCGUCUGGGGUA